AGGCUGCCGAUGACUCCCUACAUGUAUGUUUUUGUUUUGUUUUGUUUUGAAUUCAUUCAUUCAUGUUUUGUUUUUUUAUCCAGCCACUUACAAUGUCAAACAUGAUACAGAAAAAUGAAACCACUGAAUUAAGGUAGGUGCAGCUAGAGACAUUAAAACUGCUGAUGGUGAGGAAUAAUACAAAAAAACAUGAGAGCAUCAGAGAAACCAGAAACAUAAUCAACAUAUUAAGAAAAAUGUUUUCAGGGAAAUGGUUUCUGUGCUUGAGACUCAACAUCAUUCCACAGGAGCAAGCUAAAUGAAACAGCAAGGAGAUGCACUGAAUCAAUCUGUGUCUGUUUGUGUGUGUGUGUGUGUGUGUGUGUGUGUGUGUGUGUGUGUGU